CAAUGCUUGCUCACACAGCUCGCCCCGCCCAGUCACUCUUCCCCUCCUGAGGCAUGCUGGGUCCUUGUGGCUUGCCAUUCUAGCCUUCCCAUGUGGUGCCUGCACCUCAACUGAGCAGCCCUGAUCUGCCUGCUGCUCACAGGUCCGCUGGAAGAGACAA